rnacentral:lncRNA from 13 species
UUUAUUUGAGCCUUUCCUCCUCAGGCUUCUGUCUCUGUUUUUUUCCUCACCCCGGGUUAUUGUAAUCACCGGCCUGUUUUGCAUACUUGAUCUGUGGCUAAUGUCUGAAGUGACAAUACCACAUUGUUGAAGAGACAGAAAGCCACAGAUGACAUGCGUUGGAGAAAAACACGCCCAUUUCUGCAUUACAGUAUAGUGUGGAGUUUGGCGGAGAGAGACAAACUUUGGACGGUCGCGCUGUUUUUGAGAAAAACAUUCCUCCUAAGGGCCCCCAGACCUCUCUUUUUUUUCUCCUUCAUCUUUUUCUGUCCUCGUCUUCUUGCUGGCGACUUGGUGGCUUUUCCUCUCUUUGUAUGUGUCCCUCACACGGAUGGUUGGAUGGCGGCUGGGGAGGCUGUGUGUAUGUGUGCCAGGACAGAACCCCCCAUUACACACAGGACCAGUGUGCCCGCCUCCCACUGAGCCCAGGGGCAUCUGCUGCCUACUCCUCUCUGCUUUCCUGGUAGCAGCUAAGCAUUUUACAGUUCAGAGAUGGUGCGGGCACCGCAGUGUGUGUGUCUGUGUCUCUGUGUGUGUGUCUGUGAGUGUGUGUCUCUGCGUGUCUGUGUGUGUGUGUCUGUGAGUGUGUGAUGGCUUUCUGGUAUACAGCUCAAAUACACACUCACACAGGGUGUGUCACCUUGACUCCAGGCAGUGCAGGAUUCUCUAUUGCAGUGAUCAGAUCUCAGUAUGGGAAGGACAGAAGACUCUUCCGUGGGAAUAUUGGCUUUGCUUCUCUGUAUCCGUGCUGUGUGUGCCCAUGGCUCGGGCUUGGACUGUCACUCGCUAGGCUAUACUGUACUUACAGCCUUCGGAUCCUGCUACAGCCACUGUUAAUUAGAGCGCCGUGGUCAUUUCUGAUUCACAUUCUUUUGUUUUGUGUAUAUUGGCGCAGUGUAAUUGGAAAGAUUUUCUGUGUGUGUACGUAUGUGUUUUUUUGCAAUCGCAAUUAUAUCAGGAAUUAGCGUUUAACUGCUGGUUUAAUUAUGCCGCUCUUUCAUUAUUCACAUGCAUGAUAAUGAGAUUCUCAAUGAAAUGUUGAAUAUUCACACCAACGCACGUGUUCUGAAUAUCAGCUGCAGGUCAUCAAGAGCAAUGUAUAACAAAUGGCAUUUGCAGUGUUUGUUUUUUUCAUUACAUUUCCCAAGUGUUCAUGAAGUGAAAUCGCAAAGUGCAAUUGAGACUAAUUGACAAAGCAAACUAGUAUUAGUCAUUGGCUAAAUUAGCAAUGUCAAAUAUAACUAGGUCUGUGUUUUUUAUAUUCAUUUCCCACUCAUUUUCUCUAACGAGACCAGCAAUUGUUCAUUCACAGUUUAGUUGCCCUGUUUUUUAAAAUCUGUCACAGAGUCACAUUGCUCAUUAUUUUAUGUGGCACAUUACUUUCACCUUGCCCCUGUCAGUGAAAUUGUUGCUCUUGUUUUUAUUUGUGUGUUAAACUGAAGUGAGGAGCUAUUCUGGCAUAAUUGGGAAAGGAGAUUUAAAGCCCUGAAAAUACCUCCACACUUCUUGUGCUCUCAUCAAACAGGAAUAGCAUUUCAUUUCAUUCUCUGAAAAAGCCAAAGAAAAGCAAUUUAAAAUCUGAUUUAACUUUGGUUUGAAGUUCUAUUGGAGGUCUGUACAGGACAGCUGAGCGGCCUGCCAUUGCCACUUGUAUAUAUCCACAGACUGAAAUAAAAAAACUCAGGGCAUUUGGGAAAGCAAAGAAAACUGCAUUUAAAGGGAAAUGGGAGAGACCGAAACGGAAAGACAUGACAUUGGGCUUCCAAAAGGAUACUUUGUUUCGGAAAUAGGCCCACCUUUGCUUUAGAUUCAAACUGUGUGUUUGGAGGUCUUGAUCACCAAGUUUCUCAACUAUUUCAUAAGCACACUUGAUACGAAUAUCAAUGCACGAAUGGACCAACGAGACUCAAAAUAAUGUAUGAUUGCAGUUUGCUUAGGUUUUGUGCUUGCAAGUAUAUUAAAAUGUAUGUAGUUCUGUCCUUGAGCUGUUGUCUAUUAAUGUUCUGUAUUAUGUCAUGUUUCGUGUUUUUGUGUGGACCCCUGGAAGGGUAGCUACUGCUUUUGCAACAGAACUUGUCCCGAUUGGUGUUUUUAAAUCAUCGAUGAAGGAUUUUGAGGCUGAUUCCCUGACCUGUCAAUGUUUUUAAUUUGCUGUUUUAGGAUUUUGUGAUACUCCUGUGAAUUCUAUGUUUUUUUACUGCCUGUAGUUUUUAAUGUUGUCUGUCUGUAAUUGUGUAAUGACUUGGUGCUGCCUACCUUGGCCAGGAUGCUCUUGAAAAAGAGAUUUCAAAUCUCAAUGAGCCCUUCCUGGUUAAAUAAAGGUUAAAUAAAAUAAAAAGAAUAAGUAUACAAAUAAAAUCCUAAACCCUAGUAACUGCAUAAUACAAACAGCAGAUGUUUACUUUGGCUUGUUGAAUAGACACUUCCUGUUGAAACCCCAAAAUAGUUUUGGGCUGUAAUUCUAUCCCGAACAAUGUAGUAGAUAAUAUCACAGUAUCCUAACCAGCAGUAUUGUGAUGCAGCAUAUCAAUGUAUACAGCAUUUAGACUCCCACAAUUCCAAUAAGGUGUAGGCCUAAUUAACUGUGAAUGGUUCAGUGGUGUUCAUCAUGUUUUCAAGUUACUUACGUGCACAAUGUUGUAUCAAAGAGGUGUGUUCUAAAAAAUAAAUGACCAAAGCAUUAUUUACCACGAUGGCUUUUGUUUUCCUUGUGAUAUGGAUGUGUCUUUGAGCACUUUGCCAGUACAAAGACACAUAAAUGGCCUCUUCUGGUGACUCAUUUAGGCAGGAUGACAUUA